rnacentral:rRNA from 1 species
GACAGAGGGUGCAAACGUUGCUCGGAAUUACUGGGCGUAAAGCGCGUGUAGGCGGUCUUGCAAGUCAGAUGUGAAAUCCCCGAGCUCAACUCGGGAACUGCAUUUGAAACUGCCUGUCUUGAGUAGUGGAGAGGAAAGCAGAAUUCCUGGUGUAGAGGUGAAAUUCGUAGAUAUCAGGAGGAACACCGGUGGCGAAGGCGGCUUUCUGGACACUUACUGACGCUGAGACGCGAAAGCGUGGGGAGCAAACAGG